ACAGCUUCCUGGUCCUCAGGCGGGAAUUUCCCCAUUUUCUGGGAACUGUGAGUGACUGCAUACCAGGCUAUCCAGAACGGCUUCACCCCCUUAGCACAGUCUUUCCUCAAUCCCCACCAUGCUUUUCUUGAAACUGGCCCUUUAAAUCCAGGAGAAAUGAGCAGCUGUUGCUUUUAGGUGGCCAUUUUGUAGCUGACCUCUGUAGUUUGCUCUCCUCUCUGACAAUUGAGGAAAUCUACCUCUAACGAACUCUGCGUUCAAUGCAGCAAUGAACUUUGGCUGCCCACUGCUGAGAAGCACACUGUAUGACAGCAAUGAAACAAGCCAUUGGCUUGAGCUGCCCAUGCGAGUGAGUGAUUUUUCCUAAUCGUGGCCACCUGGAGAUCCCGUAGGACUGAGGAGACAAAAGGAC